GUACACACCGCCCGUCACACCAUGAGAGUUGCCAACACCCGAAGUCCGUGAGGUAACCUUUUGGAGCCAGCGGCCGAAGGUGGGGGUAGCGAUUGGGGUGAAGUCGUAACAAGGUAGCCGUAGGUGAACCUGCAGAAGGAUCA
rnacentral:rRNA from 1 species